rnacentral:tRNA from 29 species
GGGGCCGUAGCUCAGCUGGGAGAGCGCCUGCCUUGCACGCAGGAGGUCAGGAGUUCGAUCCUCCUCGGCUCCACCA